AUGCUUAUAGUUGACAUCAAAAUAAACAUUCAGGUCUCAAAGAUUUCAUGCCAUCACAGGAUCCAUCAUAUUUCAUCAAUAUCAAAAACAGAUAAAAUCGAAGAAAAUUGGUGUUUAGCAGCCUGUUUAUUCACUGCACCGGUGGAAAUCACGACGGUGAAGCGACUCAACACGGCUGCGAAAAUCUAUGCCUCUUACAAUCAUAGACGAUGA